GAUGAACGCUGGCGGCGUGCCUAAUACAUGCAAGUCGAGCGAACAGAUGAGGAGCUUGCUCCUCUGACGUUAGCGGCGGACGGGUGAGUAACACGUGGAUAACCUACCUAUAAGACUGGGAUAACUUCGGGAAACCGGAGCUAAUACCGGAUAAUAUAUUGAACCGCAUGGUUCAAUAGUGAAAGACGGUUUUGCUGUCACUUAUAGAUGGAUCCGCGCCGCAUUAGCUAGUUGGUAAGGUAACGGCUUACCAAGGCAACGAUGCGUAGCCGACCUGAGAGGGUGAUCGGCCACACUGGAACUGAGACACGGUCCAGACUCCUAAGGGAGGCAGCAGUAGGGAAUCUUACGCAAUGGGCGAAAGCCUGACGGAGCAACGCCGCGUGAGUGAUGAAGGUCUUCGGAUCGUAAAACUCUGUUAUUAGGGAAGAACAAAUGUGUAAGUAACUAUGCACGUCUUGACGGUACCUAAUCAGAAAGCCACGGCUAACUACGUG
rnacentral:rRNA from 1 species